UGCCGCGUGCGGGAAGAAGGCCUUCGGGUUGUAAACCGCUUUUGUCAGGGAAGAAAAGGUUCUGGAUAAUACCCGGGACUCAUGACGGUACCUGAAGAAUAAGCACCGGCUAACUACGUGCCAGCAGCCGCGGUAAUACGUAGGGUGCAAGCGUUAAUCGGAAUUACUGGGCGUAAAGCGUGCGCAGGCGGUUAUGCAAGACAGAGGUGAAAUCCCCGGGCUCAACCUGGGAACUGCCUUUGUGACUGCAUAGCUAGAGUACGGUAGAGGGGGAUGGAAUUCCGCGUGUAGCAGUGAAAUGCGUA
rnacentral:rRNA from 1 species